rnacentral:rRNA from 1 species
UACAGAGGGUGCAAGCGUUAAUCGGAAUUGCUGGGCGUAAAGCGUGCGUAGACGGUUACAUAAGUCGGGUGUGAAAGCCCCGGGCUCAACCUGGGAAUUGCAUUCGAGACUGCGUAGCUAGGGUGCGGAAGAGGGAAGCGGAAUUUCCGGUGUAGCGGUGAAAUGCGUAGAUAUCAGGAGGAACACCGGUGGUGUAGACGGCUUUCUGGACCGUAACUGACGCUGAGACACGAAAGCGUGGGUAGCAAACAGG